CGCCUGGGAAUUACGAGCUAAGCUUAAAACCCAAAGGACUUGACGGUGUCCUAUCCACCUAGAGGAGCCUGUUCUAUAAUCGAUAUUCCCCGCUUUACCUCACCAUUUUUUGUUUACAGUCUGUAUACCUCCGUCGCAAGCUUACCAUGUGAAUGUUUUAUAGUAAGCUUAAUAGGCCACCACGCCCAUACGUCAGGUCAAGGUGCAACUAAUAAAAUGGAAAGCAAUGGGCUACAAUUUCUACCCUUAGAACAUACCAAAGACUUAAUGAAACAAGGUCAUAAGGCGGAUUUAGCAGUAAACAGAAAAUAGCGUGUUCUUUUUAACUCGGCACUAGGACGUG
rnacentral:rRNA from 1 species